CUCAGCUGGGCAUGGUAAUCCCUACUACUGAGGGGAAGGUCUCAGAUCUCCUGAACUCAGGAGUUCUAAGCUGCAAAGGGCUAAGGUGAUUGGGUGUCCACACAAAGUUUAGCAUUUAUAUUGUGAGCCCCUGGGAGUGGUAGGUUAGCAUAUUGCUUAAGGAGGGAUGUAGCAGCCCAGGUCAGAAAUGGAUCGGGUCAAAACUCCCAUGCUGAUCGGAAUAGGAUUGAGCCAUGCGGUAGCCCCUGUACUACCAGCCUGGGUGAAAUAGGGAAACCCAAUCUUU
rnacentral:SRP_RNA from 1 species